rnacentral:tRNA from 1 species
GUCCCAGUGGCACAGCUGGAUAGCGCGCGCCCCUCCUAAGGGCGAGGUCGCAGGUUCGAGUCCUGCCUGGGACGCCA